GGACUACUAGGGUAUCUAAUCCCGUUUGCUCCCCUAGCUUUCGCGCCUCAGCGUCAGUCACAGGCCAGGAAGCCGCCUUCGCCACUGGUGUUCCUCCGGGUAUCUACGCAUUUCACCGCUACUCCCGGAGUUCCACUUCCCUCUCCUGCACUCCCAGUAGAGCCGUUACCCGUGACCCUCCCCAGUUGAGCCGGGGGCUUUCACACCGGUCGUACCCUACCGCCUACGCGCGCUUUACGCCCAGUAAUUCCGGACAACGCUCGCCUCCUACGUAUUACCGCGGCUGCUGGCAC
rnacentral:rRNA from 1 species